UACGGGGGGUGCGAGCGUUGUCCGGAAUCACUGGGCGUAAAGGGCGCGUAGGUGGCCUUGUAAGUUUGCGGUGAAAGCCCGGGGCUCAACCCCGGGUCUGCCGUGGAUACUGCAAGGCUUGAGUACUGUAGAGGCAGGUAGAAUAUCGGGUGUAGCGGUGGAAUGCGUAGAGAUCCGAUAGAAGACCGGUGGCGAAGGCGGCCUGCUGGGCAGUAACUGACACUGAGGCGCGACAGCGUGGGGAGCAAACAGG
rnacentral:rRNA from 1 species